AUGCCACCAAGUUGGAUAAGCCUUUUGUUCUCUUUUCUUUCUUCUUGCAGAGCCAUGGAAAUUUAUUUUGAGUAGAAGGGGAGUAUGAACAAGUCAAGCCAGUGACACCACUGAUGUCACAGAAGACUCUGACAAUCUUAGGACAUCUAAUAGUGCUGGGUGAGCCUCCCUUCUCUCUUGCUUCUGUAUGUGUGUGGAGCCAUCACACAAAGUCUAUCGUGAAACUUCACCUACAGGACAACUCAGUUAAUUUUAAACAGGAUGUCUGGAAAAAUCACCAUUUGGACCUACAAUGGUGCUACAGAAAGACAGCCAGGCAAGCAAAGGUGUCAGAGAGGAAUUCACCAUCUCUGCACAACAACCAGCUAACUUACUUUUAUCUACUUUCUCACCAAACUCGCUGUAAGUUCUUGGCACAACCUAAGUCCUUCCAGAUGUUUUUUUUUUUUUACUUGCUCUUUUCCUUGUCCCCAAAUGCUCCUCACUUGGCCCUAUACUCAAUUCAUCAUUUUGCCUGGCUGCUUCCACCAACAACCGCAUCUUAUUUAGAAUGCCACUACCUUGGAGAAAACUUCCAUGAUUUAUCACUUGUAACUGCAUGAAAUUAUUUACUUUUUAAAUACUUAGUGUAUACCUUCCUUUCCUUUCCAUCUCUCUGCUCAUCCAGCCAUGUUAAGCAUAAAAAAGCAAGUCUUCAGCUUCUUAUUCACCAC
rnacentral:lncRNA from 1 species